AGUAAGGCUUUAUUAAAAGCCACACACUCCUUAAGAAUCAAGCAC
rfam:Filimonas lacunae strain DSM 21054 genome assembly, contig: Ga0111651_103